AUGAUUCCAGGACCUAGAAUCAUACCAGCCGAUGGGUGGGGGUUUAUCGCUCGUUCAGAUGACGACGGUCAUUUGAUGCUCAUUCGCACGUACCAAAUUGACCAAACCAUUACAUCAAACCACAUGCAGUACAAUGCAUGGUGCGUUCGUGACAUUGAUGGCUAUGGCUGCUUCGUGUUCGAGAAAGAUCCCAGCUCCGUUGGGCCAGGCUCGAAGAAGAAUUGGCCGUUGCUGCCGGCUGACGUCAAGUUCGAUCCCACGGAUCAGGAGCUUAUCGAGCACCUUGAGGCCAAAGUGAGUCCUGACAGUGCGAGAUUUCAGUCUCUCAUCGAUUUGUUCAUACCAACCAUCGACAGCGAGCAUGGCAUAUGCUACACCCAACCUGAGAAACUUCCAGGUAUCACACUGCGUGGCCUAAGGAAGCAUUUCUUCCAGCGCAAUUCCAGGGCGUUCAAAAGGGGCACGUGGACACAUCGCAAGAUACAGUCAGAGUGCGGCAUGCACGCGAUGUGGCACAAGACCGGCAAUACCUUGCCGGUGAUGGUCAACGGCCGGCAGACGGGCGCAAAAAAGGUUCUGGUGCUGCACACCAACAAGAACUUCGACCAGCAGAGGACCAACUAG
rnacentral:rRNA from 1 species